CCUUGAUAUACUUAAUUUGGUGGAAACUUUACCACUAAUACUCCCGUUACUUACCCCACCCAGCACCAUCUCACCGCCAUUAACUCCCAGUCAAACCCUAACGCCUUCUCAUCUAACAAAUCGAAGAAGCCUCGAAUUAAUCUGCAAGUGCCAGGAUUGUAUGUUGGUGUAGUCCUGCAUUUUACCGUUCUUGCACUAUCCACCGUCAGGUUGUAUAUGUGUUUUUUACUCAAUGUAAGCACUUAUGGCUUCUAAGGACGGAGCAAUGCUUGUUUUGUUUUGCAAGACAAACCAAAUAUGUCACAAAGGUCUUGGAUGCAACUACCCAUGUCCAGGAUAUGUGGAGUAUAGAGAUUGCAUACUUGAUGAAUUGUGAUCUGUAAGUUUCAUAUUUCAAAUUGUUUAUUGUUUUUAAGUGUGAUAUAAUCUCUAUGGUUGAAUAUUACAAAAUUGAGGCAGAGAGAAGCUAUUUCCGGAUUCAUUCGGAACAUCUUGCAAUGAUGGAAAUGGUGCUCAGAUUACAACAUCCAAGGAACUGAGUUGCUUGGACGAUCGUAAUGGUCAAAUAUUGGGGAGAAUAUGAGAAUGGAGGCUUAAUAGAAUAGGUGAAGCGAUCUUGGAAUGUAGUUUUGUAGGAUAUUUUUAACACUUCAUAUUCGAAUAUUGUAUGACUUCUAUUUUAUUGAAAGUAUUAAGUAAAUUGAUGAUA